rnacentral:rRNA from 1 species
GAUGAACGCUGGCGGCGUGCCUAAUACAUGCAAGUCGAGCGAACGGACGAGAAGCUUGCUUCUCUGAUGUUAGCGGCGGACGGGUGAGUAACACGUGGAUAACCUACCUAUAAGACUGGGAUAACUUCGGGAAACCGGAGCUAAUACCGGAUAAUAUUUUGAACCGCAUGGUUCAAAAGUGAAAGACGGUCUUGCUGUCACUUAUAGAUGGAUCCGCGCUGCAUUAGCUAGUUGGUAAGGUAACGGCUUACCAAGGCAACGAUGCAUAGCCGACCUGAGAGGGUGAUCGGCCACACUGGAACUGAGACACGGUCCUGACUCCUACGGGAGGCAGCAGUAGGGAAUCUUCCGCAAUGGGCGAAAGCCUGACGGAGCAACGCCGCGUGAGUGAUGAAGGUCUUCGGAUCGUAAAACUCUGUUAUUAGGGAAGAACAUAUGUGUAAGUAACUGUGCACAUCUUGACGGUACCUAAUCAGAAAGCCACGGCUAACUACGUG